rnacentral:rRNA from 1 species
GAUGAACGCUGACAGAAUGCUUAACACAUGCAAGUCAACUUGAACUUCGGUUUGGGUGGCGGACGGGUGAGUAACGCGUAAAGAACUUGCCUCACAGAUAGGGACACCAUUUGGAAACGAAUGCUAAUACCUGAUAUUAUGAUUAUAUGGCAUCGUAUAAUUAUGAAAGCUAUAUGCGCUGUGGGAGAGCUUUGCGUCCUAUUAGCUAGUUGGAGAGGUAACGGCUCACCAAGGCGAUGAUGGGUAGCCGGCCUGAGAGGGUGAUCGGCCACAAGGGGACGAGGAAAGGGCCAGUACUCCUACGGGGGGAAGCGGUGGGAAUUAUUGGCCAAUGGACCAAGAGUGUGAUACAGCCAUUCUGUGUGCAAGGUCGGGUUUUUGGGAAUGAAAAGUGUUUGCAGUUGAGAAGGAAAGAAUGACGGUACCAACAGAAGAAGCAACGGCUAAAUACGUG